rnacentral:rRNA from 1 species
UACGAAGGGGGGCUAGCGUUGUUCGGAAUUACUGGGCGUAAAGCGCACGUAGGCGGACUAUUAAGUCAGGGGUGAAAUCCCGGGGGCUCAACCCCGGAACUGCCUUUGAUACUGGUAGUCUCGAGUCCGGAAGAGGUGAGUGGAAUUCCGAGUGUAGAGGUGAAAUUCGUAGAUAUUCGGAGGAACACCAGUGGCGAAGGCGGCUCACUGGUCCGGUACUGACGCUGAGGUGCGAAAGCGUGGGGGAGCAAACAGG